AUGAUAAACUACCACUGUAGUUAGAAGAGAAGGGAAAGUGGUGCAAUUCCACUGCAGCCCCCGCUACUGUAAACGGCGACGCGCUCACGAUAACCAUUGUCCAAUCGGAUGAGAAGGGGUGAGAAUUGCGGUAGACCCGUUAGCCAGGAAACCUGCUUCUAACCGUAGUCCUUU
rnacentral:ncRNA from 1 species